UACGAAAGGGGCGAGUGUUAUUCGAAAUUACUGGGCGUAAAGGGUAAGUAGGUGGUUGAGUAAGUUGUAUGUUAAAUCCCAAAGCUUAACUUUGGUAAAGCAUACAAAACUACUCAACUUGAAUAAAAGAGAGGAUAGUGGAAUUUCUAAUGGAGGGUUAGAUUCUGUAGAUAUUAGAAGGAACAUCAAAGGCGAAGGCAACUAUCUGGCUUUUUAUUGACGCUAAAUUACGAAGGCGUAGGUAGCGAACAGG
rnacentral:rRNA from 1 species